rnacentral:lncRNA from 1 species
CCUACAUCUGAUCGGGAAUCCUCACGCAGAGAGUUAUACAAUGAUGCAUAUGCUAACACUAAUCCAGCUUGUUUGUAUAAGUGAAAAAGGUGUAGAUUUUAUGAUCGCAAAUCUCGAUUGAACAUUCCAAAUAUCCUCUCGAUCACAUUUCUAUAACUAGCAUGAUGAAGAUUGUAUAAUUCAGAUGUAAUGUUAAGAUCACGCCUUUGGACAAUAAAUUCUUGUAGAUUGUAUCAAACAACAUGAAAUUGAGCCAAAAUUGACUCGAUUUGAAAACCCACAAUCAACUAGAUAGAAUUUACCUAAAGAUUUUAAUGAUAAUUAUUACUAACUGUUAGAAAUUUAAUUUAUAAAUAAUUUGUAAAUGGUUACCUACUAGUACCUGGAAAUUGUUUGUUCUUCUAGUUAAAUAGUCGUUUAUUACUUUUGAAU